UAUUUUCAAAUUAGGUCACUCCGUUAAAAAAAAUAGACAGACGUUAAAAUUUUAUCUACGUGGUUCUGAAAAAAAUAUACAAAAAAUAAAAAAAAUACAUGUGGUAAAAAAAAUAAAUAACUAGAAACAUUAGCCAGCCCAACCUGCUCAGUGACUGAAAGUCUAACCCGACCCGGAUUAGUACAAAUAUAUCAAACCCACCGUCAGUAGCAAAAAACGAAAAUCAAAACAUCAAUAGCACUCUUUCUUUCUUCUCCAAUUUCAUUUCUAAAUUCUCUCUCACGCGCUACCAGAAAAAACACAGUUGCUUUCUUCUAGGUCUGAAAUUCAGAAUUCAUUGGUGCCAUGGCGGUAGAAGAUAGAAAUCUGUCGGAACUGUAUCACACCUCCAAGAGGUUGUUGUUGAAGAGCGGGGAUGGCUUGGAGCGCCUCGAGCGUCUAGAAUUUUCCUCUUCUACAACAACCGUCGACUCGCCGGAGCUAUCGUACGCCGUCCAAAGAGAUAUCGCUCAGAUCCAGUCACUCUGCGCCGAUAUGGAUUGCCACUGGCGAUCCGUCGCUGCCAAGUCUCAGCGUGAUCUCUGGAAAAAGUUCUCGUUCCCCUCUCUCUCUCUCUAAAAUUAAAGAUCCAAAGUACAACAGCUUAAAAAAUAGCAUCAAAUAACUAAAAUAAAAAUACAAGUCAUCAAAUCAGAUCUGGUAAAAUCAAGAACAGAAACUAUGAGAUGGAUUUUUUCAGUUCCAAACAUGGCUGACCAUGGUACCCUAUUUAGUAUCAAAGGUAACAAAAUCCUAGGUUCCCAUCCUUGAUUUUGAGCAGAUUCCCCAAAUUGAAUUUAUAGAAAUUGACAACAAAACUCUAGACUUUAGACCCAAACUUGCUAAACUGAAAAGGAAAGAGUUUUUAGACACAAAAUCGUACAUACCUUGUAACCACAAAAUAUCUAAACCAAAAAUUCAAUGAGUCGUGAACCCUAGAUCGACUUCUUCGUCGCUGGAACCCUAGUACGCUAUAAACGAGGUUGGAAAGAGAUUUACAAAAAUCAUGGCUUCUAGGUCACAAAAGUUAAGCUUCUCCCAGUUAUCUGAACAGAUGUGAUGAAGAACCCUCUCCUUUGUCUCUCUCUGUUUCUCACUGUGAACUACUUCGAUUUGGCUGGUAACGACUCUUCUAUUUAGCGCGAAAGCCACG
rnacentral:lncRNA from 1 species